rnacentral:rRNA from 1 species
UACGUAGGGUGCGAGCGUUAAUCGGAAUUACUGGGCGUAAAGCGUGCGCAGGCGGUUAUGUAAGACAGGUGUGAAAUCCCCGGGCUUAACCUGGGAACUGCGCUUGUGACUGCAUAACUUGAGUGUGGCAGAGGGGGGUAGAAUUCCACGUGUAGCAGUGAAAUGCGUAGAGAUGUGGAGGAAUACCGAUGGCGAAGGCAGCCCCCUGGGUCAACACUGACGCUCAUGCACGAAAGCGUGGGGAGCAAACAGG